UUGUGCAGCCAAGGAAACAUCGGAAGGUUUCGACGACGUCGGUAUGAAAUGGCAGAAACUGCCUGUGUCACGGAAGCACUGAGAUUAGGUUACGUAGAAGAUACACAUGUAUGUUGCGGUGAUCCCGGCCUGCUAGUGUGAAGAAAACGACAGUGUAUCCGGACCUAACGAGGAUUAAAGAGCUGUUUUUCCUACUACUAACCGCCCAGGUUGUGUCUCCGGCGGCAGGCAGCGAGCGGCGACUGCGGGUCGACACUGUCGGAAUUAACCGGAGAGGGGUCUUGAGAGACAAGCUCCACUUGGAUGCCCAGGCACAGUGUUCGUCCAAGGCUUCACCAUGAACCGGAACAAGCGUGAAAAGGAGUACUACAGUAUAGAUGUGGGCGAUUCAACUUUUAUGGUUUUAAAGCGCUAUCAGAACCUCAGACCCAUCGGAUCUGGAGCACAGGGUAUUGUCUGUUCAGCGUACGACCACAACUUGGAGAGGAACGUCGCCAUCAAGAAGCUGAGCCGGCCCUUUCAGAAUCAAACUCAUGCAAAACGGGCCUACAGAGAACUGGUGCUCAUGAAAUGUGUCAACCACAAGAACAUAAUCGGCCUAUUAAAUGUAUUCACACCACAGAAGACACUGGAAGAAUUCCAAGAUGUCUAUCUAGUGAUGGAGCUGAUGGAUGCCAACCUCUGUCAGGUGAUUCAAAUGGAGCUGGACCACGAGAGGCUGUCCUACCUGCUCUACCAGAUGCUGUGUGGAAUCAAACACCUGCACGCUGCAGGCAUCAUACACAGGGACCUGAAACCCAGUAACAUUGUGGUGAAGUCUGACUGCACACUGAAGAUCCUGGACUUCGGCCUGGCCAGGACGGCCGCCACCGGUCUCCUCAUGACGCCCUACGUGGUGACCCGCUACUACCGCGCCCCCGAAGUCAUCCUGGGCAUGGGCUACCAGGCCAACGUUGAUGUCUGGUCUGUUGGCUGCAUCAUGGCUGAAAUGGUCCGGGGUAGUGUGUUGUUUCCAGGCACUGAUCAUAUCGACCAGUGGAACAAGGUGAUCGAGCAGCUGGGGACGCCGUCUCAGGAGUUCCUGACGAAGCUCAACCAGUCAGUGAGGACCUACGUGGAGAACCGGCCGCGGUACGCUGGCUACAGCUUCGAGAAGCUCUUCCCCGAUGUCCUGUUUCCUGCAGACUCUGAACACAACAAACUGAAAGCGAGCCAAGCCCGAGACUUACUAUCCAAGAUGCUGGUAAUAGAUGCGUCAAAGCGGAUCUCGGUGGACGAGGCUCUCCAGCACCCGUAUAUCAACGUGUGGUACGACCCGACUGAAGUGGAGGCACCGCCACCCGUGAUCACAGACAAGCAGCUGGAUGAGAGAGAGCACACAGUGGAGGAAUGGAAAGAGUUGAUAUAUAAAGAAGUGCUGGACUGGGAGGAGAGAACAAAGAAUGGAGUCAUCAGGGGACAGCCGGCGUCCAUAGGUAUACUGACAUCAGUGAGGAUUGGAGAGAACCGAAGACUGCGGCUUUGCCAUCAAAUGGACUUGGAAACCACGAGGAUGGUGACGAUAGAGGCACUGGAAGGGCCUGAGGACAAAGGAGGAUUUAGAGGCAGCUAUGGCAGAAGACCCAUCUGUUAAUGCUUCAGUUUUGGAAAAUCAAGUUUUCUUAAACCUGGCUGUUAUGACAUACAAAUUGGAUUCCACAGUAAAACAUUUAGCAAAAAGAAAAAUGCCUACAGUAUAAAUAUGGAGGACGAUAAAUGCAAGUGGAGGAACCUCUGCUAAAGCUUCCGCUGUUAAUAAAGAGUCAGUUCACCCAAAUGACAUAAAAUACUUACAACUAGUGGAUACUAUUACUUUCUGUUGUCCAGGUUUGAAGAUUACAGAGAAAAGUACACCAAUGGGAGUUUGUCCAUGACUACCGCUCAGUCUGAAUUCCACGUCUGGUGCUCACAGCGUUAAAACCACAUUCAAAAAAUGACUAUUUUACCUUUUGUAUUUUCAAAGCCUGGACAAAAAGAAAAUAACUUGCUAGCUUCCACUAAGGGCUGAACUGACCCUGCAGUGUAAGAAAUUGCUUGACAUUUUGGGAAGAAAAGUUAGCAUAGAAGUGAGCUAUGUUAGCUAAGAAGACUGACACCACUAAAUAUACUAAAGCUAGAGCCAGCUAGCUUGGGUUAACAUGAAGACUGUAACCUCCUGUAAAAAAGCACAUAUUGUAGUUUUCAGUUUUUGUAAGUACUAAGCCAAUGAGAUAUAACAUGCUAAUUAAUUUUCUUUGGAGGUGAUGGUGGGUAUUUUUACCGUCAUGCUGAGCUAGGCUAGCCUUUUCCUUCUCUUUGUGUUAAGCUAGGCUAACCAGUCGCAAGCUGUAGCUCCUUAUUUGACCUACAGACAUAAAAGUGGUAUCAAAUUUUUCAUCCAACAGUUUUUAAGGAAGCAAAUCAGCAUAUUUCCAAAAAUGUCAAACUAUUGCUUUGAGAUAAAUACCCCAUAAAGAUAAAUAUCAGUCAGGUGUCUGCAUUCAACAUUGACAUUUCUAACAAGUCUUACAGUUUCAGCACAAAAUCCAUUCACUUAGUGUCCUUGUAAAGUAGUGGUUGAAGAAGUCAGUGCUCUCCAUUAUAGAGAAUGUCAGGGAAAUUACAUUAUGUUCCACUAGUCAUGUUACAAGCACCUGAACUGUUUAAAAUACUGCCUUCACAAGGAUCAUCACAUCUUCUUAACGUUAACUUUCAAGCAUGCGUAAGAAAGUCUAAACUGUUCAUUGCUCAGUGGAGACCAUCCUGGUAAGGAUCACACACUCAGUACCAGUUUGACAUUUAAUUCCUUUAGAAUUCCCUCAGUCAUCUCUACAUUUUCAUUUCCUUCAAACUUGUCCUGAAUGUGCACAAAUGCGGUGUCUUUUAUUUUCUUGUUCAGCUCUUCUUUUGAAGGAAUGUCCUGAUGCACUGAGGAGGACACGAGCCCUUAAAAGACAACCAGGCCCUGAAAUAUAAACCUGGACCACGGCUACGGUGUUGGCCCCAGACAGAUGAGAGACCAUGCUGUUUCAAAUGUCACUAGUCCUCGCACCCAGGGCCAGAUCCCCCAGUGUGGAAAAGAAAUCCUCCAUUUCCUUCUCCAGCAGCCGGUUGCGGUUCUCGGCAUCCUCCCGUGCCCGCUCGGAGUUUCGUAGUUUGAUCUCCAGCAUACGUUGUUUCUUCCUCUCCUGCUCCAUCUCUUGUUCCAAACGCUCCAUCUGGGCACAGAGAGCAGCGCUGGACUCCUCCAGUCUGAAGGGAGGUAACACAAUACAGACAAAAAAAACCCCAUCAAUGACAUUUGUUGUUAUUCUUUAGACAGAAAUAAACCCUGCUGCCCUCACUGUCAGGUUUCUUUUUACAACCUCCUUAAGGAAGAUGGUGGAGGAAGGAAGGAAACGCCAUGUUUUGCAGCUAAAAAAACAUUUUUGCUUCUAGCAGGUCAUCUUUAUAGGUUUAAAAACAUCUGACAGCGGUGACUAACAGUUGUAGUACCAAGAAAGACAUUAAUGAUCAGUUUACUUGCCUAGAAGACACAGUGUGCUAAUACAGUUGUAUAUCUUCUGAGGCACUGCAGGAGCUUUAUAAAGUGUGUUCUCUCAGCUUGAGACACAUGCACAUUUUCAGGUUUAUAUUUUUGCACCAGGGUUGUGUUUGCAUCAUUGUCUUUGCAUGAUAUACAAUUUUAAAACAUGGCUUUUGUCUCCUGACGAUCUCCUGGUUCCCGAUUAGCACACUUGAAGACUUCCACCAACUAUAGCUGCUGUUAAGACAAAUGGUAGCUGGAUUUUACUUCUUUUUGUUGCUCUUCACUCAAAAUGCCUACCCUCUUAAUUACAUCCAUGCAUGUCCAGACCCAAGUCUGAUCCAAAAUAUACAAGUGGACGACCCCAACAACCCCUUAAAGUAUCAAUGCAACAAUCUUGGCAACAAAGAUGACAUGCAUAACUCCAUCUGUUGUCAGUUUGUAAUGGCUAGUGAAUAUAACACUGCAAGUGAGGUGCUCAGAGCAGGCUGAGGCCUUUGACUUGCAGGGAGCCUUUUUACAUUCAUUUUAAGUUUUGGAACUUUGACAAUGCAUAUCAGAUUUCUGACAUUAUACAAAUCUAGAAAUUACAGCAAAAUCUCAAAAACAAUGGCAUGUGCCUUUUAAAUUUCUGAACACAAAGCCCAUGUUUAGAAAUGAGCAUGCAAGAUUUGAAAUAUGGGUUUUUACCAAUCCUGAGAAGGUUUAACAAAAAGACUUUUUAGAAGUGCACCUUGUGAAAUGUAGGAUCUGGUGUUUUGGGAGCUUAGUCCAUCUGAGGACUAAAAUUAUAGGUAUAUUUGAUCUUAUAUAUUAUUCUAUAUUUGUAACUUCCCUCUCAUUGUGACACUAAAUCUAUAAACAUACCUUCAGUAGACAUUAUUGGACAACAAACACAAAGAGAAAAUCAACAUGCGUUUGGAAAAAUUUAAAAGACCCUUCCCUAUAGUCUUACUUUUGGAUCCUGGCCUCAUAUGAAGUCUUCUGUUUUCUCAACUCUUCCUUCAGUCCCUCCACCAGGCUACUUAGUGUUAGGUUUGUCCCAUCUCCAUCUUCAGACAUGAUGAUGGACGGCACCCCGGCAGCCAUGGCCACGUUUCCAUUCUCGCUGCAGACUGCACUGCUGCUGCACAGCUCCAUGGCCUCACAACUGUCCUGCUCAGAGCUCGGCUCCGUCGUCAUCCCUCCGUCCCUUCCUCUGUCAAUAUCUCUCUGGCCUUCCAUCCACUCCCCCUUUUCUCCACCCUCUACCGCACCUCGACAGUUCUGAUGUGGCGACGGCUCGCUUCCGGAGUCGGGGACGGAAAUUUCACAGGAGGACGUGGACCACGGUGUGCUGGAUACACUUGGAACGCUGCCCAUGCUGGAGGAAGAGGUGACAUUGUCAUAGGUGGAGAGCCUCUGAGACGAGCCGGUGGAGUCGCGGUCACGAGCAGAACGCUCACCUGAAGAUGUGCGCCGGUGUCCCCUCAAGGAGGACAAACCAUUCAUGAGCCAGUUACCUCCACUUCCACCUCCUCCACCACCCGAAGACACACUGGUUGCAUCUGCCACUGAGCCGCCACCGCUGCUCUGCUUAGCCUGCUGCUGGGAACGAGGUGCUGAGGAGCUUUUGAAUGAGUAUUUCCAGGAAGGUAUUGUCUUGGCUUGUUUGCUUGGGCUGACCACUGUCUCGCCCUUCCCUGAUGGAGACCCAAGUUUUGGUCCUGUGUUUGGAUUGGGGGUCUGGGUGGGAGUGACAGCUGCACACAGUUUGGCAUCUAGCGACGACGCGCUGCUGUGCAGUUCUUGAUCGGGGUUGGAGAUGGGGCAGGUCUGCAGGUCCUCUUCAGAGAUCCAAGCUCCCAAGCUGCGAUGUUGGAGCUGAUGCCCCUGGAUCGGGAGCUCAGUUUGGGGUAGAGCCGGCCCUUCCUGGUCCCUCCCUGAGUACAAACGGUUGUGUUCCCUAAUGAGGACAGUCAUCAGGUGCUGGACCAGAGAUGUACCUACACAAUAUGGACCACAGUCAGACAGGUUAUCAAGGUCGAAGGAUAUUUGGUCCAAAUACUGUGGCGAGGUUCUGGACACUCAUCUUGUUCUCAUUACAAUGGGACUGGACCUCAUCAAGGAAUCUACGAAGAGAUGAAAAAGUGACUCAAUUAAGGCUUGUCCCCGCAGUCGAAGGCCUCCUGCAGCUCUUUGACGAGGUUGGCCUGUCCCGGCAUCCUGAAGAGACCCUCCUCAUCCAGACCCCUCUCUCUGAUGAAGUCCACACACUGCUCCACCAGCAGAGGAGCCAGGCGGGGGCCAAACUUCUUCUCGUACUGCACCGUGUCCUCUAGACGCUGGCCAAAGAUCCCUGGAGACAGAAGGAGAAAACACACCAUGUCCAGAAGUUGGCGACAGAUCUAUUCCUGACCGACAACCGAGAGACACACACCUCCGGUCUGUGAAUCCGAGAGGGAGGCUGGAAAUACGACCGAGCCGGAGUGAGGUAACCGAGAGGAUAACGGAUCGCCAUCAUUUAGUUUAUUUACAUUAAAGGUUUGGCUUUACCUCCUCCAAACGGUGCCCAGAUGACCCGUCGUAUGGCCUUGACCCAGUCAUCCAUGUCAGUCUGGGAGUUUGCCAUGAGCAGGAAGGAUUCAUGGCUGAUGGGGGCCCGGUCCUUAUCUCCUGUUCCACCUGUAGAGACAAACAAGGGCAGAAAAGGAGAGCAUGGAAGAGCUUCCAGAAGUUCAGCAACAGAAUGUUUCCGACCUGGAUGCGUGCAACAUUGCCUGUGGGGUAAAUCGACGCAACUUUUACUUCUGGAACCAGCGAUGCCCCAUCCAGCUCCUCCCACUUUGUUCCUGCUCAUGUCCAGCUCAUCGACCUCACACAGCUUCUGGAGGCACUUUGGCACCGCAGCGAUCUCCUGAAAACUGAGGUUCAGCCGCCGUUUCCCAUCCACCGUCAGCUCCAUGCUGUUCUGAGCCAUUUUCAAGAGCUCGGGUCAGGAGAGCGAAGACCACAGAGGAGAUCUUCAUUUUCCAACGGCUGCAGCCUCCAUAAACUCCCAGUUAAAUGCCUCUGAAGAAAAGAAGCCCCAGGUUUCCUCCUCCUCUUCUUCUUCUUCUCUUUUUUUUUUUUCCCCCAGCUGAGGAGUGUAAUAUGAAACAUUGGACGCUCUGUUUCUACUCAGAACCUCCCCCCUGGCCCUCCCUCUAAUGUCACCCACAGUGAAAGCACGUUUGGUGAGCUCACGUGCACGCCCGCACACACACAUAAACACAUUCACGUGCACGCAGAGCAGGCAGAAACAGACAGGUGACUGAGGACACACACACACACACACACACACACACACACACACACACACACACACACAUGCACACGCCACCUCUGCUGCUGGUGAGGGAGUGGGAAAUGUAAUUUCCUGUGCAGGAUGGAGGGCGGGGAGGGGAGGGGUGUGCUGUCGAGAUUGACGCUGAGCAAAUCACACUUCCAGCUGUGGAGGACGGCGGGCGCAGACCUCAGCCGGGGCUUUUAUUUUGGAACACAUGCUGACACAGGGGGGAGGGGCUGCAGUGUGUUUGUGUGUGGGAGUCUCACAUCUUAUGGAGGUUAAUUCUGUAAUUGAAGUUAUUUACUCAAGUACUUCGCUCUGCUUUCUGAAUGAAAAACCCCACGGCUGACAUCGAGUCCAUGUGUGUCCGCAUCUAACUCCCAUCGUUUAUGUGUCGUGUAACCAGAUCCCACAGUGAAUCUUUGUUGCAGCAGUCUGUCGGCUCGUGGUUUUUGGGACACUUUUCUGGCUUUUAUCAAACCUCAGAGCAGCAGCGCACUUUUGAUUUACAGAUAAAGGAGGCUGACUGCUGGGGCCUCUUAAGUGCUCCUAGUCUGGCGACAGUUUGACUAACAUGGAUGUCUCCCCUUGACAAAGAGCCCCCCACUUCACCAAAGGUCUAUGACCGUCAGGGCAAAACGUUGUGGGGAUUCAUCAAAUUAGGGCUCAAAACUGUGUAGAAGAUCUUGCUCAAGCAUUUUCACUGUUUUUCAUCAGGAGCAACUCCUUCCUUAAGUAUGAACAUCAGAAAAAAAAAGUUGUUCUAUCAUGAAGCUUUAGUUUUCUAGUGAAAAACAAACUGUACAACAAUGAAAACAAAAUAUCUAACAAAUCAUCAUAAAGUUAAAAUGACCAGACAUAGUGUGACCUGGAGAAUCUGAUCCAGUUAUUCUCUCCUUUUACUUCUGUUUUGGUCUCCACCAACUAGGGUAAAACAAUAUGCAGAAAAGAAAAAACAUACUUCUGUUAGUUUUACAGAUAUUGUAAUGGUAAUAUGAGUCACAAUUAUAGUGGGAACCUGUCUGAGGGAUGUCUUUCCAUCUCUUCAGCACCACAGUGCUUCAUUUAAAAUGGCAUGUUGGGACACAUUCUGCCUUCACCAAAAGCAGCUCCUGCGAUUUGGAAAUUCCAUUUCUUUAUAAUGCAGUUGCGACAUUAUCCAUCCAUCCAUUAUCUAUACACCGCUUAAUCCUCAUUAGGGUCACAUUUUGGCUGGAGUCAAUCCCAGUUGACUUAGGGUGAAGGCAGGGGACAUCCUUUACAGGUCACCAGUCUAUCACAGGGCUACACAUAGAGACAAACAAUAACACUCACAUUCACACCUACGGACAAUUUAGAAUCACCAGUUAACUUCAGCAUGUCCUUGGAAUGUAGGAGGGAGAUGGAAUACCCAGAGAAAACCCACAUAUGCACAGGGAGAACAUGCAAACUCCACACAGAAAGAUCCUGGGAAGGCCGGGAUGCGAACCGGGGACCUGCAAGGCGAACGUGCUAACCACCAACCAUUGUGCAGCCCCAAUAGCAACAUUUAUUUUGAAUAAUCAUUGAACCCUACCACCGACUCCGAAGUAAAUUACCUAGCCAACUUGCUGUGAUGAUAUUUUUGUCCCCAGCCUGUUGCUAACUUUGUGUCUUUUCAAGUUUGUGGGUUGUAAAACAAAAACAAUGAGCUACAAGAGAGUGUUAGGAUUUUUUUAAAGAUACUACUAACUCAACACUGAAAUUGAUAUCACAUAUGAGUGUUACAAUAUUGAUAAUAACCAUUUAAUGUGAAAUGAAUGCAUGAGUUGUGCUUAACCUUUAAAAGGGAAGAGCUGGAGCUAAGCACUAACUCCAAGGAAAGAUAGAGUUUUGGCUUUGAUACAGAUCACAUUCCUAUUUCCUUACAAGGUAACAACUAAUUGUACUGAAACUGCUAAACUCAAGGCUGUUUAAGGGUGGAAACCAUAAUAAUCCUCCUCAUGAGAUACCAUCAGUGGCUGCAUCACAUCACAGGAAUAGACGAACAGGUAGAGAGUGGGAAGAAGUUUGCAGGAGGUUCUUCUUACAGGGUGUGCCUCCUGGGGAUUGGAUGAAUCGUGUGCCAAGAGAUAUGGACAUAUCUGUGCGCCAACUAGUGGGAGAGCUAAGUCUACACCACGGUUUAUCCCCACCUUUAGCCAAUCACAUUUCAAUAUCUGAAUUAUGUGUUUGUGUUCUAUAGCCAAUCACAUUUCACCAUACUGACUAAAACGUUCUGUUCAUAUCAGACUAUAUCCUUUUCUGGGAGGCUGUUCCAAACAGAAAAGGUCCUCAUACAAGAUUCUUUUGAGACACUGAUAUUUACAACAUAAACAGCUUAAUUGGAGAGAAGUAGUUUGUGUUCUACCUCAAAAAACUAACACGCUCAACAAGGAGCUGCUCUUAAUUUUGUAAGUAAGUUUGCUAAUAUAAUCAUAAAUAGUUAUUUUUUUCAACAGAAACAAACUGAAAACACAAAACUGUUGUCUAUUUAUACACCUAACAUACAUUAAAAGCCCAAUUUUCACUCUCCGCUAACUUCAUUUUUAGUCUUCAUCACUUCCUAAGGGAAAUAAUUGUCUAUUUAGCUGCUGAAUUUUCAAGUAAGACGACCAGUCAAGUCUGAACUGCAGCUGUUUGGUGUUAAGCAGAUAUAUAGUUUAUCAGAGAUGUUUGGAUCUUUAAAGAUACAUUUACAUCGGCUAGAAAUGAUGUAGAUGAGAGCUGUGAGACUCAACCAAAACAGGCAAUAAAACUGAAACACUGGGCUCAAAGCUGCUAAAAUGUCCUGAAAAGCUGACCAAAACUGAAGUGUUGGAUGCUUAUUCAUUACUACAAAUGACCCCUUUUCAGAUAUCACGCAUUGAUUCAUUGUUGAUAUGAAUAUACUGAUUCUUGCAGCUUUAAUAAUUUCUUUUUAGUCAACAAACAGAAAGUAAACAUGGCUUCUACAGCUCUAGAUAUUGUCCAGUUCUGUUCACUGAUAAUGGAAGUGCUUAAAUCAGCCAUGUUCUCACAGUGAUGCAGAUUUCUCUACAGUUUUCAUCUGGAGGAAAAGAAAGUGCAGAUAUAGUUCAACAACUGUGUAGUAAACUGUGAGACUUCAACAAUGACCACAUCUGCUAGUUAUUAUUCCAUGUUUGCGUGCAGGAUUACCAGGAUAUUAGAGAGAGUUUUUAUUGGUUCUUCUUCAUCCGUCUCUGGCCUGGAAAAGGGAGUCAUUCAAACUUGGCAAAGCACUCCGACUCUUAAUUAGAUUGAUAUAGAUCAUAUGUUGUGGAGGUGUAACUGUGCCAGAAUAUUGUGUUUACUGCCUGAGCACUAUAGUGGCUGCAGUACAGCUUCUUUUUGAACACAUUUUUGGCUGUAACUCAAGAAGUAAUACACUGAUAAUGUCAACAUUUCACACAAAUGUCGACCAGGAUGAAAUGCUGAAGGGAUGAUAUUUCAUAUCCAAAAGACCUGACUUUAUAGUGACAAUAUGAUGCUCUGGAAAAUCACUGUUCUGGCUAUUAUUCAUUGGAACAGAAAGAGAGACUGUGAUCAUAUUUCACAUUUGGUCACAUACUGAGUUAGUUAUACUAAUCUAUACUAGUUUUUUGGGGGGAUGAAUUGUGUUUUGACAGAAAAGUUAAGACUUAGCAAUAAAUACGGGUUCAAAAAGCUACUAAAAUAUAAAGUAAAAGUUAGUGGAUGGGAAUGUCCUUUUUUAAAAUGUCUUUUUUGUGAUUUUUUUUUGUGAAUUGUGAAUUUCCUGCCACAAGCAGUAACGCUGUUCAAUGCAUCAGCCCUGGCUGGCAGAGAGCUCUCCGUCCUCUCUGCCUUGUCUUUUUACAGUGCUGUAAUUUGAAAUUGCACACUUUUUUAUACUCUUGCACUCGUGGUCACUAUUUGCACUAUGGACUCUAACAUUUGCAAAUCCUUUACAUAGGAGAUUUUGCUUUUUUAUGUUAUUCUUAUUGUUUAUUUUUUAUAUAUGGCACAUUUUUACAUAUUUAUCUGUACUUAUGAAGGUGGAAACUGUUCUUUUUCUUCUGCAGCAAACAAAUUUACGCUUGGGAAUUAAUAAAAUAUUUCUGUUCUAUGUCUUCA